AUCGGGCGGCUGAGGGAGAGAUCGCCGGGAAGUAACGUGGCUGCGCGACGAACAGGGCCAAAGCACAGGAUACGAAGAUAGCCGAGCACGACCGAGGUCGCGAGCGUCGACCGAAUGAGUCUCUCUCUCCCUCUCUCUAUUUCUCUCUCUCUCUCUCUCUUUCUACUUGUCAGCGCUCGGGUCCAGUACUUCAGUACGUGCACAGCGGCCGGCCGGCGUGCAUAGUUGUUGAUAGUAGUGUCGUGUGUUCUUGAAAUCGAGCGCUUUUUUCGCGCGAAAUCGCUCCUCUGCCGUGGUUAUUUUUACCAAUGUCCGUACGAAACGAGAGCUAAACUCGACGAUCAGACGACGUCGUCUUUGUGCUCCGAACGGCGCCGGGCCUCAGGGCCCGGUCGCUCUCGUUUCCACUUAGGUCGACUCCGGGAAGCAUGCGAUUAUGGAGCUUGCAGGCUCCCGGGGACAAACCGGCUGCGAUGUCUGCACGGGCGUUACCCUUCGACGGCAGUUUCCCUCGUGUAAUUAUCGUCGCGAGUCGCACGACGAAAGUCAGUACUUCCUCAAAUCAACGAAGGUAUAUUCUCGAGAAAAGAGAGAGGAAGCAAGAGAUAGAAUACAAGAGAGAGAAAGAAGGAAACACACAAAGCAUCAUCGUGUCGAAGGGUCAAACUGUGCCAAGAUAGCAUUACGAGACAAAUAAAAAAUCCUGACCAGAGAGCUUCAGCAAAAAAAAAAAAUCAAGAAAAAUACUCAUUUGAUUGAUUGUCAUAUGAGAUUAAUUGAGAAGAAUUGCCUAAAUUCUUGCAUUCGCAAUUUCUCGAGUUACUGUCCAAUCUUCUAUGAUCUUUGCAUCAAUUGCAUCGCGUAGAUGACACGCGCUGCCAUCGUAGCGUUGUGUUGAGAGUGCAAAUUUUUGUGGAGUAAAAAAAAAUAGAUGCAAUAGGCAUUGACAAGUACGAGUUUGACGAGAAUUGGGAGUACAAAAGUGUGCGUAGAAAAGCGUGCUUCGGAGGGGACGCAAUGACGCGAGGAAGAAACAUAUGAAGAGGAGAUGAAGAAAGGAUUUGGCGAAGUAAAGUAGAAAAAGUGCGAGAGCAGCGGCAGAUACACGAAACUGGCGACCCAAGCACGUGACAGCGGCUCCCGUGGGUCUCGGACCCGCCGCCGAGCCAAUGGUGGGUCGCUCUCCAGCCGGGGCAGCACCACAGAGAUGCAAUGCGGUCUGUGCGCCGUCGUCGCUGGUCUGUUCCGCCGGGCUAUGUGUAUUGCAGGCAGUCGACGCGGCUCCGGAGAAUCCUGUUAUCAGGAACUGGCCACGGAUAUGCAGGAGCGACGACCCUCGCAGGUGGAAGAUGCAGAAAUUGAGCUCAUUAAAGCAAGCGAAAUCGUGAAGAGAGUGAAAAACGUUCAAGCGGAAGAGAGGCGGACUGACGAGGUAACGGUGGACAGCGAGGAACAGAAUGCGGUGUUUGUGUGUAUUUCCGAUAGCAGCUUAUUUCGUAAUUCUGGUACAUCGACUACGUUACCAGAAGUCCGUGAUGGAUUAUCUACGGCGGAAGCAGCAUUCAGACGUUUAUCGGAUGCGGAACAAAUUCUGCUGGAGAGUUUGGACAUCGAUCAAUAUAGACCCAGGCACACUGGCCGAUUUCUGACGAUGCAUAAAAGACGACGUAAGAAGCUUACUACCAGAUCCUUGAAUCAGGAACCAGGUAUCUUGGACGAUAUCUUUCACGGACUGGUACAGUGCGUGUUGCAAAGAGCUGGAAACUGGCGCUUUAAUGCUUUCACGCUGGAAACAGUCACAGGUGGUCGUUCGCUGCCGGUAUUAUGUGUCCACCUCUUCCAUUGUUAUGGUCUUUUUCAAUACUUCAGUUUGGAUGUUGUAACAGUAUGGAAAUUAUUUGCUUUUAUCGAGGAGGGUUAUCACAGUACAAAUCCUUACCACAACAGUAUACAUGCGACGGAUGUCACUCAGGCAAUGCAUUGCUUUCUCCAAGAAAAAAAGAUUAAAACACAUCUAACCAAUUUAGAAAUUAUGGCUUCCUUGAUAGCGGCUGUAACGCAUGACUUAGAUCAUCCGGGUGUUAAUCAACCGUUUUUGGUCGCAACGAGUAAUCAUUUAGCUGCGCUUUAUCAGAAUACUUCUGUUCUCGAAAAUCAUCACUGGAGAUCAGCUAUAGGAUGUCUUCUAGAAAGCGGUGUCUCGGCACAAUUACCAGCCGACGUAAGACCAGAACUUCAACGGCAUAUCAGUUCAUUGAUCUUAGCAACAGAUAUUACAAGACAACAAGAAUUUCUUACGCGUUUUAGGGAUUAUUUGAGCAACAAUUCACUUGAAAUGAAACGCGAGGAAGAUCGUCAUUUCAUCCUACAAAUUGCUCUAAAAUGCGCAGAUAUUUCCAAUCCGUGCAGACCGUGGGAUAUAUCUAGGAAAUGGUCUUACAAGGUUUGCGAAGAGUUUUUCAGACAGGGCGAUUACGAGCGUCGUUUAAAUCUUCCAGUAACGCCAUUAUGUGAUCGACAUACCACUAGCAUCCCAAAAAUCCAAGCUGGUUUUUUCAAACACGUCGUUACGCCUCUCUACGUAGAAUGGCAUCGUUUUCUCGGUGAUGGUUUGAGUGUGUCAUUAAUGGAAUAUUUAAAGAUGAAUCAGAAAAAAUGGGAAUCACUGAUUAACCAAGAGAUAACUGAAGAAAAAGAAACCGACAUUUCUGAAUUUAAUGAACCUGAAGGAGUCAUUAGUUCGGGCGAAGAAACGGCCGCUGAUGAAGAUUCGGGCAGUAUUGAUCUGCUGAUACCAGCAACUUAUGUGCAAACAGCGCGAAUGCCGACAUUGCCAGGACGAGUUGGACUCGAUCGCGUUGGUAGACGUCAUUCCGUUCCUUUAAGUGUAUCGAAAUCAUUGUACUUACCUUUAACCCAGCCCAAUAGAAGAGAAAGUAUGCCGAUCGAACAAGCCAAAGCGAAAAAUCAAUUCUGGAAGAUAGAAGAUCAAAAUUUAUUGGGGCCGAGUUCAUUGUCUCUAUUGUCUUCCAAAAGUAAUAUGAGCGAGUCAAAUGUUAGUGUUGUCGAGAGACCAGUUAGCGCAGAGAAUCUCUUACCAGAGACAAGUAUAGCCAGUAUUACGAGCAGCACCGAAGCAUCGAGAUUAAAUACAGUUCUGCAAUCGAAUAAUCAGUACAACGCGCAAACUAAACAACUUAUACGACAACAGACUUUCCCUCCGUUGCAACCAAGUACAAGAAUGAGGUAUAUGUCUGCGACUGCGGAAAUGUCACAAUGUUACAUUCAGACAUUGCUGGAAACUGACAAUUCCUUUAGUUGCUCGACUCAUACGAAAGAAAAAUCAUGUCCAAGCGGUCGGUACUGUUCACACGAUCCUAAUUCACGUCAUCAAAAGAAAUCCAGCAUAAGUCCUCUUUCUAAAGAAUUACCGACGGAUAUAUCUGUCAAAAAACAAGGCUCGACCUUGUUGGAUACAACAAAACAGAAACAUACUGUCAAUUCCAUGCGUCGCCAUUCUAUACAGACUGUUCGCACUGAUGAUUCUUUUUCUAAACAUAGAUAUAAAAGGCCUUCUUCCGCUCAAGAUCCAGAUUCCACGCAAAUGUUCUAUGCUGCGUUAACGGGUUCUUACAGUGACAAAAACAAAUGUGUUCCUGACAUGUACAUUGCGGAAUGUAAGUCGAAUUUAGAUUGCAACACCGAAUUUAAAUGUCAUGAUGCGAAAUUAACAGUUCAAGAACUGCAAACUACGUUGUUGCCCAAAAAAUUAGAUCAAUCUACUUCAUCGACUUUGAGCGCAUAUUCUGCACAAGAACCGCGAAGAUAUUCAACUUCUGUCACAGAAUGUAAAACGAUAACGGUCGAUCAUGCAGGUAGACGAUAUACCACGAUACCCGUGUCUUCUGAGCUUAGCACUCACAAAGUGUUCUUUAUCGGUAGUCCUCCUGAUUCGCCUCCUAAUCAUAGUGUAUCUUCAUCGAGUGACAGUGGUAGUGAGCCAAAAAGAAGUAUCGAUGAUUCGAGUAAGGAAGCUAGUGUUAUCAUUGGCAAUAGAAAGGAAUUGGAUAAUGUGAAAGAAAAAAAUUCGAAGAGUUCAAAGUUCAAUUCCGAUGCGCAAAUGAAGGAAAAUGUUGAUCCCCGAACGAAUGACGACGUCGCUAAAGCAUCAUCUCGUAGAGGCAAUCAGUUGCAUAUAUUGUUAUCAAUAUUGAAUUCAGGGAUGGGCAAAAAGACGCGGAUCAGCUCCAGUUGGUCUUCUAUCAAAAUUGGACGAUUUUACUUCAACGAAUAUAUCUACCAGAGUUGAUCAUAAUUGCAGACGUGGAUCAGUACCAACUGAUAUUACUAAACAUCAAGGUGGAAGUUGUAACCGGUUAACUCUAGGAUAUCGAGGAGACAAUUUUUCGGAUCUACGAAGAUCUAGUCUUCCGCAA
rnacentral:misc_RNA from 1 species